rnacentral:misc_RNA from 1 species
UGGAUAUACAUAUAAAAUUAAAGAUUUCAUUCAAUACUUCAAACUUUAAAUUCAAUAUUGAAUUGUUAUUGUAAAAUUAACAUUUGAAGUUCAAAUUUUAAAAUUUUAGCAAUAGAGUGCAACUUAAAUAUGAAAAUCUUAAAUAGAAUUAAAACUAUUCUAAUUAAAUAAACUGUGGGUAAGGAUGUAAAGUUCUAGAGUAACUAAGCACCUUAAAUCACUAGCUAACUUCCUAUUUAAAUAAAAUCACUGUAUUAAAUAGACAAAAUUUGGAUCAGCAAUUUCCAUGUUCUGGCUCACGUUUUGGAUUGUGCAUUCUGGAACGCCAUUCGGUUGGGGUCAACAAAUUAGCUAACAUUGGAUGUGAGUGAGAGAGAGAACCGGAAUGAAAAGGGGGAAGCACAGUAUGAGGACGUGGAAGUGGAAGGCAAAUAAACGAACUCCCAAAAUGAUCAAACCUUACAAGUCAUUUAAUUUGCCAUCUACGAGCACAAGCUAACAAGGCUUCAUAUAAAAGUAAGAAAAUGUAUAAAAAUAAAAUAAAAGGAAAAAUAGUAAACGAAAAGUUACCAGCUCAGAUACAUCACUGAUG